AUGAACGCUGGCGGCGUGCCUAAUACCUGCAAGUCGAGCGAACGGACGAGAAGCUUGCUUUUCUGAUGUUAGCGGCGGACGGGUGAGUAACACGUGGAUAACCUACCUAUAAGACUGGGAUAACUUCGGGAAACCGGAGCUAAUACCGGAUAAUAUUUUGAACCGCAUGGUUCAAAAGUGAAAGACGGUCUUGCUGUCACUUAUAGAUGGAUCCGCGCUGCAUUAGCUAGUUGGUAAGGUAACGGCUUACCAAGGCAACGAUGCAUAGCCGACCUGAGAGGGUGAUCGGCCACACUGGAACUGGGACACGGUCCAGACUCCUACGGGAGGCAGCAGUAGGGAAUCUUCCGCAAUGGGCGAAAGCCUGACGGAGCAACGCCGCGUGAGUGAUGAAGGUCUUCGGAUCGUAAAACUCUGUUAUUAGGGAAGAACAUAUGUGUAAGUAACUGUGCACAUCUUGACGGUACCUAAUCAGAAAGCCACGGCUAACUACGUG
rnacentral:rRNA from 1 species